AGCUUUUCGAAUCCGUGCUGAGAUUUCGUCAGACACCAACCCAUUAGGGCUGAUCAGACU
rnacentral:pre_miRNA from 1 species